rnacentral:rRNA from 1 species
UACAGAGGUCCCAAGCGUUGUUCGGAUUCAUUGGGCGUAAAGGGUGCGCAGGCGGCGAGGCAAGUCGGACGUGAAAUCUCGGGGCUUAACCCCGAAACUGCGUUCGAUACUGCUUUGCUCGAGGACUGGAGAGGAGACUGGAAUUCCUGGUGUAGCAGUGAAAUGCGUAGAUAUCAGGAGGAACGCCAAUGGCGAAGGCAAGUCUCUGGACAGUUACUGACGCUCAUGCACGAAGGCCAGGGGAGCAAACGGG